rnacentral:lncRNA from 1 species
UUGGUUCUUCACUGACGCCGGAGUUCGAUUUCUGUUGCGUAAUUGUGUUGCAGGUGCAGCCGGUGAUGCGCAGAUCGGCAACGCGCGGGACGGGCCUCCGCAGCAGGCGCAGGGUCAGCCUGGGCAGCAGGCUUCUUCAGAGCCUGACAAUCCCAGCCCACCACCGCCAUCGGCAGGGCAGAUCUAGCUCGAUCAUCUCACCGCUGUGUUUUCUGCUUCGCUCUGUUUUGGCAGAACAGAAUGAUUCCUGUGAUGUGAUGUGGCCAAAUGUGGCAGAACAGAUCCAUGAAACUAUAGUUCUCUGAAAUUAGUAGAUGACACUUUAGUUUUCGAUGAACAGAUCAAUGAAACUAUAGUUCUCUGAAAUUAGUAGAUGACACUUUAGUUCUGGAUGAACAGAUCGAUGCAAUGCAACUAUAUUCCUGUGACGUGGCCAAAUGUGCGCUGCCUGAUUUGUUAAUCUUUGGUUCUUAUAUGUUCACUACUGUUCCACUUUCAG